rnacentral:rRNA from 1 species
UGAGAAUCCCCAUAUGUGCUUGGCAGCCACGCCCCUGAGAAACCUCUUUCCACGAAGUCGAGUUGUUUGGGAACGCAGCUCAAAAAUGGGUGGUAACUCUCAUCUAAAGCUAAAUAUUGGCCAGAGAUCGAUAGCGCACAAGUAGAGUGCUCGAAAGAUGAAAAGCUCUUUGAAAAGAGAGUCAAACAGUACGUGAAAUUGUAGAAAGGGAAGCGCUUGCAACCAGACCUGCCCGCGGGUGAUCAGCCGGUAUUUUUACCAGAGCACUCACCCGUGGUCAGGCCAGCAUCGGUUUGGGUGGCUGGAUAAAGUCCACUGGAAUGUAGCUCCUCUCGGGGAGUGUUAUAGCCAGAGGUGCCAUGCAGCCCGCCCGGACCGAGGACCGCGCUUCGGCUAGGAUGCUGGCGUAAUGGUUGUAAGCGACCCGUCUUGAAACACGGACCAAGGAGUCUAACAUCUAUGCGAGUGUUUGGGUGUCAAACCCAUGCGCGUAAUGAAAGUGAACGGAGGUGGGAACCCUCAAGGGUGCACCAUCGACCGAUCCUGAUGUCUUCGGAUGGAUUUGAGUAAGAGCAUAGCUGUUGGGACCCGAAAUAUGCCUGAAUAGGGUGAAGCCAGACAAACCGCAGCGGUUCUGACGGCAAAUCGAUCGUCAAAUUUGGGUAUA